rnacentral:rRNA from 1 species
UACGUAGGGUGCGAGCGUUGUCCGGAUUUAUUGGGCGUAAAGAGCGUGUAGGCGGCCAGGGAGGUCCGUUGUGAAAACUCGAGGCUCAACCUCGAGACGCCGAUGGAAACCCCCUGGCUAGAGUCCGGAAGAGGAGAGUGGAAUUCCUGGUGUAGCGGUGAAAUGCGCAGAUAUCAGGAAGAACACCCGUGGCUAAGGCGGCUCUCUAGUACGGUACUGACGCUGAGACGCGAAAGCGUGGGGAGCGAACAGG